rnacentral:rRNA from 1 species
GAAAGAAGCUUGCUUCUUUGCUGACGAGCGGCGGACGGGUGAGUAAUGCUUGGGAACAUGCCUUGAGGUGGGGGACAACAGUUGGAAACGACUGCUAAUACCGCAUAAUGUCUACGGACCAAAGGGGGCUUCGGCUCUCGCCUUUAGAUUGGCCCAAGUGGGAUUAGCUAGUUGGUGAGGUAAUGGCUCACCAAGGCGACGAUCCCUAGCUGGUUUGAGAGGAUGAUCAGCCACACUGGGACUGAGACACGGCCCAGACUCCUACGGGAGGCAGCAGUGGGGAAUAUUGCACAAUGGGCGCAAGCCUGAUGCAGCCAUGCCGCGUGUGUGAAGAAGGCCUUCGGGUUGUAAAGCACUUUCAGUCAGGAGGAAAGGUUGGCGGUUAAUACCCGUUAGCUGUGACGUUACUGACAGAAGAAGCACCGGCUAACUCCGUGCCAGCAGCCGCGGUAAUACGGAGGGUGCGAGCGUUAAUCGGAAUUACUGGGCGUAAAGCGUACGCAGGCGGUUUGUUAAGCGAGAUGUGAAAGCCCCGGGCUCAACCUGGGAACUGCAUUUCGAACUGGCAAACUAGAGUGUGAUAGAGGGUGGUAGAAUUUCAGGUGUAGCGGUGAAAUGCGUAGAGAUCUGAAGGAAUACCGAUGGCGAAGGCAGCCACCUGGGUCAACACUGACGCUCAUGUACGAAAGCGUGGGGAGCAAACGGGAUUAGAUACCCCGGUAGUCCACGCCGUAAACGAUGUCUACUAGAAGCUCGGAGCCUCGGCUGUGUUUUUCAAAGCUAACGCAUUAAGUAGACCGCCUGGGGAGUACGGCCGCAAGGUUAAAACUCAAAUGAAUUGACGGGGGCCCGCACAAGCGGUGAGCAUGUGUUUUACUUCGAUGCAACGCGAAGAUCUUACCUACUCUUGACAUACAGA